UUAAAGGGAUGGGAUUCGAACCCACGACCUUCCGCUUACCGGGCAGAUGCCAUGACCACUAGGCUACCCUGGACA
rnacentral:tRNA from 1 species